rnacentral:rRNA from 1 species
CCUACGGGAGGCAGCAGUGAGGAAUAUUGGUCAAUGGACGCAAGUCUGAACCAGCCAUGCCGCGUGCAGGAAGACGGCUCUAUGAGUUGUAAACUGCUUUUGUACGAGGGUAAACCCCGAUACGUGUAUCGGGUUGAAAGUAUCGUACGAAUAAGGAUCGGCUAACUCCGUGCCAGCAGCCGCGGUAAUACGGAGGAUCCGAGCGUUAUCCGGAUUUAUUGGGUUUAAAGGGUGCGUAGGCGGUUUGAUAAGUUAGAGGUGAAAGGUCGGGGCUCAACCCCGAAACUGCCUUUGAUACUGUUAGACUAGAGAAUAGUUGCGGUAGGCGGAAUGUAUGGUGUAGCGGUGAAAUGCUUAGAGAUCAUACAGAACUCCGAUUGCGAAGGCAGCUUACCAAACUAUAUCUGACGUUGAGGCACGAAAGCGUGGGUAGCAAACAGGAUUAGAUACCCCGGUAGUC